AUUGAACGCUGGCGGCAGGCCUAACACAUGCAAGUCGAACGGAGUGGCGGACGGGUGAGUAAUGUCUGGGAAACUGCCUGAUGGAGGGGGAUAACUACUGGAAACGGGCGCUAAUACCGCAUACUAUCAGAUGAGCCUAGGUGGGAUUAGCUAGUUGGUGGGGUAAAGGCGUACCACGGCGACGAUCCCUAACUGGUCUGAGAGGAUGAUCAGUCACACUGGAACUGAGACACGGUCGAGACUCCUACGGGAGGCAGCAGUGGGGAAUAUGGGACAAUGGGCGAAAGCCUGAUCCAGCCAUGCCGCGUGUAUGAAGAAGGUCUUCGGAUUGUAAAGCACUUUAAGGUGGGAGGCGUUACCAACAGAAUAAGCACCGGCUAACUUCGUGCCAGCAGCCGCGGUAAUAC
rnacentral:rRNA from 1 species